rnacentral:lncRNA from 1 species
CCCUAAGUGUCCCUGUCCCCUGAGUGUCCUCAGGUGACCCCAUGCCCUGUCUGUGUGUCCCCAAGUGUCCCCGUCCCCUGAGUGUCCUCAGGUGACCCCAUGUCCUGUCUGUGUGUCCCAAGUGUCCCCAUGUCCCCUGAGUGUCCCCAGGUGACCCCAUGUCUUGUCUGUGUGUCCCAAGUGUCCCCAUGUCCCCUGAGUGUCCUCAGGUGAUCCCAUGUCCUCUCUGUGUGUCCCCAAGUGUCCCCAUGUCCCCUAAGUGUCCUCAGGUGACCCCAUGCCCUGUCUGUGUGUCCCCACGUGUCCCCAUGUCCCCUGAGUGUCCCCAGGUGCCCCCAUGUCCCAAGUGUCCCCAGAUGUCCCUGUCCCCUAUCUGGAUGUCCCCAGAUGCCCCCAUACCCUGUCUGGCUGUCCUCAAAUUGUCCCCAUCCACACCCUGUCUUGCUGUCCCCAAGUGUCCCCCAUCCCUGUCCAGCUGUCCCCAGCUGUCCCCAUGUCCCCAGACGCCAUCCUAACCCGCUGUCCCUGCUGUGACCCGCUGUCCCCAGCUGACCCCAUUGCUGGGCUGUCACUCCCGGUGACAAAGUGACCCCUGGUGGCCCUGCGGUGCCAUUCGUGUCCCCGGCUGUCACCAGGAAUCCUGCCUGGCUGUCACUGCCAGCUGUCCCCGUGUCCCCUUUGGCUCCGCUGUCACCUCCAGUGCCUCCUGUCCCCUAUGGGUGCCUCAUUGUCCCCCUGAGUGCCUCGUUGUCCCCUAUGGGUGCUUACUGUCCCCUUAAGUGCC